UACGUAGGGUGCAAGCGUUAAUCGGAAUUACUGGGCGUAAAGCGUGCGCAGGCGGUGAUGUAAGACAGGUGUGAAAUCCCCGGGCUUAACCUGGGAACUGCAUUUGUGACUGCAUCGCUGGAGUGCGGCAGAGGGGGAUGGAAUUCCGCGUGUAGCAGUGAAAUGCGUAGAUAUGCGAAGGAACACCGAUGGCGAAGGCAAUCCCCUGGGCCUGCACUGACGCUCAUGCACGAAAGCGUGGGGAGCAAACAGG
rnacentral:rRNA from 1 species